rnacentral:rRNA from 1 species
GUCUACAGCCAUGCCACCCUGAACAAGCCCGAUUCCAUCUGAUCUUGGAAGCUAAGCAGGGUUGGGCCUGGUUAGUACUUGGAUGGGAGACCACCAGGAUAACCAGGUGCUGUAGGCG